rnacentral:rRNA from 1 species
CCUACGGGAGGCAGCAGUGGGGAAUUUUGGACAAUGGGCGAAAGCCUGAUCCAGCAAUGCCGCGUGCAGGAAGAAGGCCUUCGGGUUGUAAACUGCUUUUGUACGGAACGAAACGGUCUGCUUUAAUACAGUGGGCUAAUGACGGUACCGUAAGAAUAAGCACCGGCUAACUACGUGCCAGCAGCCGCGGUAAUACGUAGGGUGCGAGCGUUAAUCGGAAUUACUGGGCGUAAAGCGUGCGCAGGCGGUUAUAUAAGACAGUUGUGAAAUCCCCGGGCUCAACCUGGGAAUUGCAUCUGUGACUGUAUAGCUAGAGUACGGUAGAGGGGGAUGGAAUUCCGCGUGUAGCAGUGAAAUGCGUAGAUAUGCGGAGGAACACCGAUGGCGAAGGCAAUCCCCUGGACCUGUACUGACGCUCAUGCACGAAAGCGUGGGGAGCAAACAGGAUUAGAUACCCUGGUAGUCCACGCCCUAAACGAUGUCAACUGGUUGUUGGGUGCAUUAGUACUCAGUAACGAAGCUAACGCGUGAAGUUGACCGCCUGGGGAGUACGGGCCGCAAGGUUGAAACUUAAAUUGAAAUUGACGG